rnacentral:lncRNA from 1 species
GGACAAUCUUCAUCAUGACCUGCUCCCCUCUCCUCCUCACCCUUCUCAUUCACUGCACAGGGUCCUGGGCCCAGUCUGUGUUGACGCAGCCGCCCUCAGUGUCUGCGGCCCCAGGACAGAAGGUCACCAUCUCCUGCUCUGGAAGCAGCUCCAACAUUGGGAAUAAUUAUGUAUCCUGGUACCAGCAGCUCCCAGGAACAGCCCCCAAACUCCUCAUUUAUGACAAUAAUAAGCGACCCUCAGGGAUUCCUGACCGAUUCUCUGGCUCCAAGUCUGGCACGUCAGCCACCCUGGGCAUCACCGGACUCCAGACUGGGGACGAGGCCGAUUAUUACUGCGGAACAUGGGAUAGCAGCCUGAGUGCUGGACUCUGACCCCCUGCCCCUCAUCCACCCCGCAGGUCAGCCCAAGGCUGCCCCCUCGGUCACUCUGUUCCCGCCCUCCUCUGAGGAGCUUCAAGCCAACAAGGCCACACUGGUGUGUCUCAUAAGUGACUUCUACCCGGGAGCCGUGACAGUGGCCUGGAAGGCAGAUAGCAGCCCCGUCAAGGCGGGAGUGGAGACCACCACACCCUCCAAACAAAGCAACAACAACAACAACAAGUACGCGGCCAGCAGCUACCUGAGCCUGACGCCUGAGCAGUGGAAGUCCCACAAAAGCUACAGCUGCCAGGUCACGCAUGAAGGGAGCACCGUGGAGAAGACAGUGGCCCCUACAGAAUGUUCAUAGGUUCUCAUCCCUCACCCCCCACCACGGGAGACUAGAGCUGCAGGAUCCCAGGGGAGGGGUCUCUCCUCCCACCCCAAGGCAUCAAGCCCUUCUCCCUGCACUCAAUAAACCCUCAAUAAAUAUUCUCAUUGUCAAUCAG